GGGGGUGACUGGCUUCGACGGGGAUCAGGAGGUCAACGGUGCGUGUCGAGCUCUCGGAGUCUCGUUAAACCUUCGGGAAACCUAUAAUUGCCAACCAAGAAUUGGCUCUCGCAGCUUAAUUGACUGCGACGUCUCCCCAUUCUUUGUCUGCGGGUAUGGAUGAGGCGCUACUUCAGCAGGCUGGUCCAAUGUUGGUGCUCAGCAACGGCGGAUGAGA
rnacentral:tmRNA from 1 species